GGACAAAAACUGGAAAAAAAAAAGACAAAACCUUUGAAAAAGAUGGUGGAAAGAUGAAGGAAGUAAGGCAAGAAUAGGUCAAAAAUAGUAUAAAAAACAGUGACAUAACUUCAAAAAAAGUGAAAACUUGUAAAAAGAAGAAGGACAAAAGGAAUGAAGGCAAGAAUAGGUCCAUAGAAGGCCACACAAAAGUCAAAUUUUUGGUAG